rnacentral:rRNA from 1 species
UACGGAAGGCAGCAGGUGGGGAAUAUUGCACAAUGGGCGCAAGCCUGAUGCAGCCAUGCCGCGUGUAUGAAGAAGGCCUUCGGGUUGUUAAAGUACUUUCAGUCGUGAGGAAGGUGUUAAGGUUAAUAACCUUAAGCAAUUGACGUUAGCGACAGAAGAAGCACCGGCUAACUCCGUGCCAGCAGCCGCGGUAAUACGGAGGGUGCGAGCGUUAAUCGGAAUUACUGGGCGUAAAGGGCACGCAGGCGGUUAAUUAAGUUGGAUGUGAAAUCCCCGGGCUUAACCUGGGAAUGGCAUUCAAGACUGGUUAGCUAGAGUCUUGUAGAGGGGGUAGAAUUCCAUGUGUAGCGGUGAAAUGCGUAGAGAUGUGGAGGAAAUACCGGUGGCGAAGGCGGCCCCCUGGACAAAAGGACUGACGCUCAUGUUGCGAAAAGCGUGGGGAGCAAAACAGGGAUUUAGAUACCC